GAAGAAUUUUCUCCACAACACUGAAGUGCAAAAAAGAGUCAGAAAGACUGAAAGGACAGAAGCCCACAAUGAUGGCUUAGGAGCCCCGGGAGACUUUACUGCAUCCACUGCCAUUGCCUAAGAUGCUGAAAACGACGUAAUGUGGCAGCUCAUUCAAGCUUCUCUGCCAUGAUGGACUACACCCUGUGAGACAGUUUUCACAUUUGAUGAAAAGGCACUAAGGACAUUCAUUUCAAGAAAGCUUUCUCAAGGACAAUGGUCUCUUGCCACACUCUUGGCCAUGAUCUACUGUGACACCACAGGUCCAAAGCCAUGGGACAAAG
rnacentral:lncRNA from 1 species